CUACAAUGGUAGUGCUGUACAUGCAGUCGAGCGGACAGAUGUGGAGCUUGCUCCCUGAUGUUAGCGGCGGACGGGUGAGUAACACGUGGGUAACCUGCCUGUAAGACUGGGAUAACUCCGGGAAACCGGGGCUAAUACCGGAUGGUUGUUUGAACCGCAUGGUUCAAACAUAAAAGGUGGCUUCGGCUACCACUUACAGAUGGACCCGCGGCGCAUUAGCUAGUUGGUGAGGUAACGGCUCACCAAGGCAACGAUGCGUAGCCGACCUGAGAGGGUGAUCGGCCACACUGGGACUGAGCCACGAUAUAACUCUAUAGGUGUGGGAGCAGUAGGCAUUCUUCCGCAAUGGACGAAAGUCUGACGGAGCAACGCCGCGUGAGUGAUGAUUUUUUUCGGAUCGUAAAGCUCUGUUGUUAGGAAAGAACAAGUAUCGUUCGAAUAGGGCGUUACCUUGACGGUACCUAACCAGAAAGCCACGGCUAACUACGUGCCAGCAGCCCCGGUAAUACGUAGGGGGCAUUGUUGUCCGGGAUUAUUGGUGUAAAGGGCUCGCAGUCUUUUCUUAUUCUGAGUCAAACCCCCGGCUCAGCGGUAAGGGUUAUUGGUAACUGGGUUCUUUGAGUACAGAAGAGGAAAUGGAAUUCACGGGUAGGGUAAAAUGCGUAAAAGAUGUGAAUAAACCCCGGGGGGGGAGCCGACUCCUCUUGUCCUGUAACUGACGCUGAAGAAGCGAAAGCGU
rnacentral:rRNA from 1 species